CCCGAGACCCCGCAUUGACCAGCAGCCGGGGACGCCCCCGGAGCAGCUGAGCUACCCGCUUGUGAUUGGCUUAGAAAUGCUCACGCGAUGCCUCUCUGGCCAAUGAGGGGUGAGGAUGAGUCCCCAGGGGAUUCUGGGAAGGGCUUUUCUCCUGACACAGAGAAAGAGCGAGAGACCGAGAGAGACGGAGACAGAGGGAGAGGAGAAGGAGGAGCUCCAGGGCCGCUAUGACGCUUCUAGAAGCUGUGGAAUUUCUUGGCCUGUGACCCCUCCUGCAUCUUCAAUGCCAGCAGCACAGCAUCUUCCGGUGUCUCGGACUUUCACCCCAGCUCCCUGAUGACGACCUUGUGAUGACCCUGGGCCCACCCAAAUAAUCCAGGACAACCCCUCAGUUGGAGAGGAUGGAAGCCCACAAGAGGGCACUGAAGCCCCCAAUGGGAGUGGCCCCUGCUCAUGGUGACCUGGUGGCCGAGGCAGACAGGAGGUCUCAGAACCCUGAGGAGAGACUAUCGGAGGGAGGGCGGCCCAACGUGACCCCAGGGGAAGAAGUUGCCCCCAACUGCUCCCAGGAGAAAGAAGGUUGCACUGUCCUGGGCUGGUGGGCCUGCCUCCAGAAGUGAGGGGUGUGGAGAGGGGGCGUCUGUGAGAAUAUGAUGUUUGCAAGGACUUGGGAGGUGAAAUAAAGUGAAGGUGUCUGGUUUUCUGACUUACACACAGCAUAACAAAUCACCACCAGCUGAGCAGCUUAAACCACACAAGCGACCAUCUCAUAGUUCCUGGGGCCAGAAGUGUGGGCACGGCUCAACCGGGUCUUGCUCAGGGUCUCACGGGCUGGAACCAGGCUGUUGGCCAUCUUGUCUGGGGCUCGGGGGCCUCUUCCAGACUCACGGUUUGUUGGCAGGAUUUAGUUCCUUGCGGUUGCAAGACUGGGGUCCCCGUUUCAUUGCUGGCCCCCCCCAGAUCCUUGCUGCGUGGCCGCCUCCACUGGCAGGUCAUAGGAAGACCAGCAGGAGAAAUCUCUCUGACCCACCCAGGAGAAUCUUCUGUUUGAUCAACUCAAAGUCAAUGGAUCAGGGACCUUGGUUACUCUGCAAAACCCUAUGCUGUAUCAAGUAACAUAAUCCCAGGAGUGACAUCCCACCCGGUUCACACUUGGAGGAGGGUAUGCGGGUGUGUGCACCACGGAAGGGUCAAUGUGAAUAAAUAGAUACCAUGUUCUACCUACGACAAGGGUGGUGUGGCUGCAUUAACAGCAGCACAAAGUUGGGGUGCUCAUGGGGAUUUCCAUGAGCCACAGGGAGCAAGAAAGGAGGAUUCAGAGCUCAAGGAGCCGGUGUAGAUGGGAGAGCCAGUGUAGACGGGAGAGCCUGCGGCAGUGAGUCUUUUUUUAAAGUAAAGUGUCUGUGCGGGGAAACAUGCAGACCUUACAAAUACAAUUCUAGGAAUUCUGACGAACACAUACCCACAGAACCCACACACAACCAAAACAGACCACAUUUCCAUCAUCCAGAAGCUUCCCGCCGACCUCUACCCACAGAGGCAAUCAAUAGCUGCCUGAUUUUUGCCACCACUGAUUGGUUGGCUAGUUUUGCCGUCCUCGAGCUCCCUGCAGACGGGAUCCCGCGUCAAGUCCGUCGUUGCCUCCUUUCACUCGGCACGGUGCAUGUGAAAUGUGUCCGAGUGGCCUGCACAUUUCACUGCGACUAGUGCUCCGGACGUGGAUGAACCACGGCUUGCUCGUCCUUCCUCCUGUCGAUGGGCAGUAGGGCCGCUUCCAGGGUUUGACCCCUGUAGACGAGGUUGCUGUGAACAUCCUUCUCUGGUUGGUUGGAUGAGGGUUCGUUUUUUCACGGCUCUUGGCCAGUGCUCAGGAGUGCGGCGGCAGGUCGUAUGGUACGUGCAUUGUGAUUUCAGGAAACUGCUGAAGAGAUUCUA
ensembl:lncRNA